UAUUUUACAGUGAAUGAUGACGAUGUCAAGAUCAUAGUGGAGACAUCAUUUUUAAUUUUUUAUUAAUUUAUUAAUAAUAAAGUAAACUGAAAAAAAAGUCAUCAGAAAAAGACAUAUCUAUUAUGGGAAGUAGAUCAUAAACUCUGGUUCCAUGAUCUCUAGCUAGAGAUGGUAAUGAAAGUUUACGACUUUUCGAUAAAACAAACAUAAAGAUACGGCGAAUACAUGGACAAACAAAUCAGGUUAACAGCAAAAGGCAGAAGGGAAGAGAGAAUCUGUAGCAGACAGCUAUGCUGUGGAGGAGGAAUCCAUGUUUAUUUAUUUAUUUUCAUUUAAUCUCUAUAGACUAUAACUUAAAAAUAUUUUCCUUUAUUACGUCAUAAUAGCAAAACGCCUUUUUUGUUCUAACUUAAAAGAAUAAAUUUGUUUAUGGUAUUUUGCAAGUAUCCACAUUGGCCUGUCUGAGUAUGUUAAUAUACAUGUUAUAUGGUAUAAUACAAACUGUGGAAGCAACAAUAAGUAGAUUUUUGAAAAAAAAAUCAGUUAAACAUCCAUAGUGCUCCCAUUUGUGUAUCAUUUUGGUCUUGGCUCUACUGCUGUUAAUCCGUGGAGAGGCGCUGCGUCUAAGUCAACUGUAAAAAAACUGUUGGGAGGAGGAGCGUUAUGUAAUAGCGAAUCCGGUUUCUAAAUGAGAACAUUGAGAACACAGAACCAAAGCUUACAUGCCCUUUAUGUCGUGGAAAUGGGUUGUCGUAUAAGCUGCUCAAUGAUGUCUCAUGAACUCGAAGCUAAUUAAGAAGUUGUUCUUGCGAGACUUCUGAUUAUAGCGGAAUCUACUGGGACUUGCAAGGGCUUAGCAUCCAUAGGCAAGACCAUCAAAGGCUGAUCAGGUAACCGAUAAAGAAGUUGUCCCUUGAUCAUUUUGUGUGGCCCUCGGUGUUUCUUCAUGAUGGGUGUGAUUAGAAUUUAGCCGAGGAGUAGCCAGAUGAAUAGUAGUGGUACUAGUAACUGGUCAGGUAGAUCUAGAACUAGGCUAAAUAUUGAAUAGAGGUCUUUCUAGAGUUCAUUUUAGUUAUGUUAAUCGGAUUACAAUUUGUAGAUUUUUUGGCAGAACUAUAUCAUGUAUUAAAGUUGUAUUAUUCUUUUGACUUUUAGUCAUUUUGAAACUAGAAACGAUAGGGAACAAGAUCUUGUGUGCUAACAAAGACUUGCAGCAUUAUAGCUAUCAACAAAACCCUAUAUAAGUCAAAAACGGUGCUUCGACUUUGGAUAAACAUACAACCGAGACCAUCGUAUUGGUUACGGAACGCAAUCCACAGUUUUAUGUUUUGACAUAAAGGGCCCAAUAAGUAAAUUUCUUACUUGGGUCUUCCAAAUAUAUUAAGUAAUAACUAGUGGCCCGGCCUAACCUCUAUAUUUUAGGGCUUUUCUUACGUUUCUUUGUUACGUCUUUUCAACAUAUAGAGGAGGCAGAACGAGAACACAGAACAAUAUGGACUAGACUGGACUUGUCGUUAUAUGUAAAUAUAAUAUACGUAUGAGCAGUAUAUAAAGGGGUAUACCUUCACCCAUAACGUCCCUUCAAACUAUAGUCCUCUUGAAGUCACAAAGCAAUUCACUUUGAGUUCCAUGCUCAUUUUCUCAUUUCUAGUGAGAUAAACUGAUAAAAAUAACACUCACAAAGCUUCUCUAGUAUCUCCAUUCUUCACACUCUUAAUCUUCUCUAGUAUCUCCAUUCUUCACACUCUUAAUCUUUAUCCUUAGUUUCUUCUCUUCUGUCUUUGCAGUACUCAUGAGAGAUAGUAACGCUUUAGAUCUCAAUAACUUACCAGAUGAUCCAUCUAGAGACUUUUUCCCAUUCUUCGAAGAAGGCUCCUCUUCCUCUUCUUCUGGGUUUAUAGAGAAGCAAAGCAAAGAUGAAAAAGAGUACGAAUGUAGAUUUUGUUCACUCAAGUUUUUCAAAUCUCAAGCUCUCGGUGGCCACAUGAACCGCCACCGCCAAGGCAAGAUCCUAUUAUUCUAUAGAAUGUUAUGUGUAUAUGUGUGUGUGUCUGUGUUUGCAUACAUAAACUUAAAUUUUGUAUUUUGUUCAUUAUGGUACGGUGACAUUAGAGAGGGAGACGGAGUCACUUAACAAAGCUCGUGAACUUGUUCUUCGCAAUGAUACCUUUCCUCCUCAGCAAGGACCUUCG